rnacentral:rRNA from 1 species
CGCAUCUGUGCAUGCAGCAUAUCAAUAAGCGGAGGAAAAGAAACUAACAAGGAUUCCCCUAGUAACGGCGAGUGAAGCGGGAAGAGCUCAAAUUUGAAAUCUUAAAGGGUUUCCCUUUACGAAUUGUAGUUUAAAGAAGUGUUUUCUGUUGAGGUUUUGGUAAAAGUUCUUUGGAAUAGGACAUCAUAGAGGGUGAGAAUCCCGUAUUUGACCUUUACUUUCAACUUUGUGAUACACUUUCAAAGAGUCGGAUUGUUUGGGAAUGCAGUCCAAAAUGGGUGGUAAAUUUCAUCUAAAGCUAAAUAUUGGCGAGAGACCGAUAGCGAACAAGUACCGUGAGGGAAAGAUGAAAAGAACUUUGAAAAGAGAGUUAAACAGUACGUGAAAUUGUCAAAAGGGAAGCGUUUGACACCAGUGUUGUUUUUCUGAAAAUCAAUUAAAGAACUGUUUAUGCUAAGCUGUUUAGACUUUAUCAGCUAUCUGUUUAGUUUUGAGCUUUUCUUUAAUGCACUUUUCAGUUAACAAGUCAACAUCAAUUUCUUUUGCUGUAAAAAAGCUUGAGGAAGGUGGCUUGAGAUUCGUCUUAAGUGUUUAUAGCCUCUUGCCUAUGCAGUCGGAGAGAUUGAGGUCUGCAGCGUAGAUCCUUCGGGGCUAAAUGCAUUUGUGCUAAGUUAUAGCAUUUUAUAGACAACUUGUUGACUAUGAUUUGUCUUGUAGCUUACUCGCUUAUGUUAUUUUACCUACGCUUAGGAUGUUGACGAUCAGCUGAGCGCG